CCCCGAGAAAAAUUCUGCUCGGUAUUGUCUACCAAUAAUAAAACAAUACAAUUAUGGAAAAUCAGUGAAAGGGACAAAAGACCAGAAGGAUAUAACUUGAAGAGGAAGAUGGGGUGUGUAGAGAUGCCACCACGGCUACUGCACUGUGAUUUGCAGAUUAAAAUCAAGUCUUUGGCAUCUGGAAAUUAUAGACAGGAGUUUUAAUAUUGUGGAUAUCAAGCCUGACAAUAUGGAAGAGCUAACAGGUGAUUUCAGCCGCAGAAUUCCAUCUGAACAGCUGUAACACAUCUGUAUCUAGCAGCAGUAAAGGAACUAUUUGCUCAUGUGACAUGAGAGCAUCUGCCCUCUGUGAUAGGCAUCUACACUGAAGAACCUGAUGAUUCCAGUAACGGGUCAUUUUUGUCUGAAAUCAUCUCCUAAUUUCUGACGUAAAAUUCAGCCAUAGUGGUCAAAUAUGAUGAUAGAGACCAUUUGUUAGUCAAAAGUUGGAACUUCAAUAUGGAAAACGCGGCCGGGUGCGGUGGCUCACGCCUGUAAUCCCAGCACUUUGCAAAGCCGAGGCAGGCAGAUCACCUGAGGUCAGGCGUUUGAGACCAGCCUGGCUAACAAGGAGAAACCCCAUCUCUACUGAAAAUAACAAAAAUUAGCCAGGCUCAGUAGCACACACCUGUAAUCCCAGCUACUUGGGAGCCUUAGGCUAGAGAAUCAUUUGAACCUGGGGAGUGGAGGUUGCGGUGAGCGGAGAUCGCGCCACUGCAAGCCAGCCUGGGCCACAGGGUGAGACUCCAUCUCAAAAAAAAAAAAAAAAAAAAAAAAUUAUGGAAAAUGCCUGUGGAAAUGUAACAGGUGCACCAGUAGCUUGGAAGUAAGCUGUGCACUGUGUGAAAAGGACCAUGUGUCUGACAAAUU
rnacentral:lncRNA from 1 species